CAAGCAGAAAAUCUUCACUGUGCUGUUGUAAACUUUGUUUUAUAUGUUGGAUUUUUUUUUUUGGUUAUGCUUUAACACAGGACCUAGAUUCUGGAAUGAACUGAAGUUCCUCGUCAGAGCGAUGAGAAAGUGCAUUGGGCAGCUGAGUGAAAGCUCAGAGCACUCUGCAUGGGAAUCCUCCAGCACAGAGCUUUGUGCUUGGAAGCAGCUCUGCUAAUUUCCUGAGGAAUUUGUGUGGCAUAUCUGCACUAGCUGAUGGUAUUGCAGCAGCAAAGCUUAACUCUGAGGGAAUUUGGGGCCAUUAAAUAGUGAAGCAGCUCAGGAGUCUGCGUUGUCUAUACAGGAUCAUGAAGAGCUAUUUUGCUGUUCAACCUCUUCUGGAUGCCCUCAAGGCCUGGAUGCUGCCAUCCUACACCUGUAAUGUGACCAAAAAAACCAGUUCUCCUCCUGGAGAGUUUGGUCAUAGCCUCUACACAUACCCACAGGAAGGUGAUGAGUCCCCUCUUCCAAUGCUCUUUGCUUUAUUAGCAAGGUGAGUUCCCUGCUAUGGAAAUUAGAGCCAGCAGAACUGCCAAAGAGGGAGGAAGAGUGUGCACACACAUCUCUGUGAGCUCUGCAAGAAGCAGGAGGAGGAGGAAACCCAUUUGGAUGGGGAGAGGAACGUGCCAGAAACACAGAAGUCAGAGAGGAAGAGUUAUGUUGCUCCUCAGGAGGUGAACAAAAAAAAAAAAAAUAUCAGGAUUUCAGAUAUGGAAUAGACACAGCUUAACAAACAGUUCCAUAAAAUGUAAGAAAAGAAGAGUUGUGACCUACAGAUUUGCCGAACUUAGCUGUUGUUAUUUCAGAAGAUAAAAGUGUGCAUCCAUAAGGACAAGGCCUGCAAAUGGAGAGUGUAUCUCAGCACACUCCCUUAGAUGCUGAUUUCUGCACUGGUACCAAAGCUGCAGGUCUGGAGGAAGUCUGUCCAGGAUGAGACAGAAGGAAUCUUUGGGCAAUGGAGAAAUCUCCAAGAAGAAAAGCAGUGGAAAUUGUUGCAUCAGUCCCUGGCCAAAAGGAGAUGAGCAGAAACAUUCUGCUGGCACGAAUAUGCUCAAGGAUGUAAUUAGCAACAGUGAUAAAAGAACAGACAUGGAAACAUGAAAUUAAAUGAGCUAAGUAUGCAAACCUGCUCUUGCAGUGGGUCACUCAGUGAUUUUUAAAACAAAUGUGAGUGGGCAGUAUUAGCUUAAUUCCUAAUUUUAUAUUCUUCUGCUGGUCCCCACAGCAAAUACUCAUAGCUCUGUUUUCAGAAAUCCCACAUCUGUGGCAGAUCGGCACCAUGAAGGUGUGGGGCCUUUGGUGCCCAAGGCUUUUGUCUCUCCUGGCAGUUCUGCCUUCAACAGGGGAGUGGGGGUUUGUGACCCAGCUGUCCCUGCUGGGGCAGUCUGGGUCACCUGGGCACCAAUUUUCUGACUUUCCCCCUUAGAUGAAACCAAGAUUCAUGUUUUAGUUUCAGAUCACAGCUGACAAAGCAGUUUAUCUUCUAUGUAUUUUUCUA